rnacentral:rRNA from 1 species
UAGGGAAUCUUCCGCAAUGGGCGAAAGCCUGACGGAGCAACGCCGCGUGAGUGAUGAAGGUCUUCGGAUUGUAAAACUCUUUUAUUAGGGAAGAACAAACGUGUAAGUAACUAUGCACGUCUUGACGGUACCUAAUCAGAAAGCCACGGCUAACUACGUGCCAGCAGCCGCGGCAAUACGUAGGUGGCAAGCGUUAUCCGGAAUUAUUGGGCGUAAAGCGCGCGUAGGCGGUUUUUUAAGUAUGAUGUGAAAGCCCACAGCUCAAACGUGGAGGGUCAUUGGAGACUGGAAAACUUGAGUGCAGAAGAGGAAAGUGGAAUUCCAUGUGUAGCGGUGAAAUGCGCAGAGAUAUGGAGGAACACCAGUGGCGAAGGCGACUUUCUGGACUGUAACUGACGCUGAUGUGCGAAAGCGUGGGGAGCAAACAGG